UGGGGAAUCUUCCGCAAUGGACGAAAGUCUGACGGAGCAACGCCGCGUGAGUGAUGACGGUCUUCGGAUUGUAAAGCUCUGUUAAUCGGGACGAAUGGUUUGUGUGCAAAUAGUGCAUAGACAUGACGGUACCGGAAUAGAAAGCCACGGCUAACUACGUGCCAGCAGCCGCGGUAAUACGUAGGUGGCAAGCGUUGUCCGGAUUUAUUGGGCGUAAAGCGAGCGCAGGCGGUCAAUUAAGUCUGAUGUGAAAGCCCCCGGCUCAACCGGGGAGGGUCAUUGGAAACUGGUUGACUUGAGUGCAGAAGAGGAGAGUGGAAUUCCAUGUGUAGCGGUGAAAUGCGUAGAUAUAUGGAGGAACACCAGUGGCGAAGGCGACUCUCUGGUCUGUAACUGACGCUGAGGUUCGAAAGCGUGGGUAGCAAACAGG
rnacentral:rRNA from 1 species